AAACUGAAGGGUUUGAUACUGGCUCAGAACGUACGCUGACGGAAUGGAUUAGGCAUGCAAGUCGUACGAGCGAACUCUUCGGAGUGAGCGAGUGGCGAACGGGUGAGUAAUGCGUGGAUGACCUACCCUGAUGAGGGGGAUAACCAUUCGAAAGGAUGGCUAAUACCGCAUACGGUCCUUCGGGAUCAAAGCUGGCUUCGGCUGGCGCUUCAGGAGGGGUCCACGUGCUAUUAGUUUGUUGGUGGGGUAACGGCCUACCAAGACUAUGAUGGCUAGCCGGCCUGAGAGGGUGUCCGGCCACACUGGGACUGAGACACUGCCCAGACUCCUACGGGAGGCUGCAGUCGAGAAUCUUCCACUAAUGCGCGAAAGCGUGAUGGAGCAAUUCCGUGUGAGCGAUGAAGGCCUUAGGGUUGUAAAGCUCUGUUGGAGGGGCGUAAUCCCCGGGAGAGAAUAUCUUUCCGGGUUGAACUCCCCUCGGAGGAAGCAGCGGCUAAAUUCGUGCCAGCAGCCGCGGUAAUACGAAUGCUGCAAGCGUAGUUCGGAAUCACUGGGCAUAAAGGGCACGUAGGCGGCCCGACAAGUCAGUUGUGAAAUCCCCCGGCUUAACCGAGGAACUGCAACUGAUACUGUCGAGCUAGAGUACGGGAGGGGAGAGCGGAAUUCCUGGUGGAGCGGUGAUAUGCGUAGAGAUCAGGAGGAACGCCGGUGGCGAAAGCGGCUCUCUGGACCGUUACUGACGCUGAGGUGCGAAAGCUAGGGGAGCAAACAGGAUUAGAUACCCUGGUAGUCCUAGCCGUAAACGAUGGGUACUAAGUGGGGGGGCUCCCAAGGCCUCCCUGCCGGAGCUAAUGUGUUAAGUACCCCGCCUGGGGAGUAUGGUCGCAAGGCUAAAACUCAAAGUAAUUGACGGGGGCUCACACAAGCGGUGGAGCAUGUUGUUUAAUUCGAUGCAACGCGAAGAACCUUACCUGGGCUUGACAUUCAUGUGGUACCAAACCGAAAGGGGCGGGACCGUCUUUUGGCGGAGCAUGAACAGGUAUUGCAUGGCUGUCGUCAGCUCGUGUCGUGAGAUGUUGGGUUAAGUCCCUUAACGAGCGCAACCCUUAUCCUUAGUUACCAGCGAGUAAAGUCGGGGACUCUAAGGAGACUGCCGGUGUCAAACCGGAGGAAGGCGGGGACGACGUCAAGUCAUCAUGGUCCUUACGCCCAGGGCCACAAACGUGCUACAAUGGUCGGUACAAAGGGCAGCGAACCCGUGAGGGUAAGCAAAUCCCAAAAAGCCGGCCCCAGUUCGGAUUGAAGGCUGCAAUUCGCCUUCAUGAAGUCGGAAUCGCUAGUAAUCGCAGAUCAGCCAUGCUGCGGUGAAUGUGUUCCUGAGCCUUGUACACACCGCCCGUCAAGCCACCCAAAUGGUCCGCACCCGAAGUCGCUACCUUAACCAGCUUGCUGGAGAGGGGCGCCGAAGGUGAGGGUCGUGAGGGGGACUAAGUCGUAACAAGGUAGCCGUAGGGGAACCUGCGGCUGGAUCACCUCCUUUCUA
rnacentral:rRNA from 1 species